rnacentral:rRNA from 1 species
UACAGAGGUGGCAAGCGUUGUUCGGAAUUACUGGGCGUAAAGGGCGCGUAGGCGGCCUUCUAAGUCAGACGUGAAAUCCCCCGGCUUAACCUGGGAACUGCGUCUGAUACUGGGAGGCUUGAGUAUGGGAGAGGGAUGUAGAAUUCCAGGUGUAGCGGUGAAAUGCGUAGAUAUCUGGAGGAACACCGGUGGCGAAGGCGGCAUCCUGGACCGGUAUUGACGCUGAGGCGCGAAAGCGUGGGGAGCAAACAGG